rnacentral:lncRNA from 1 species
AUUGCUGUACACCAAUCUGGACACUUGGAGGCUUGAUGAUAGGAUGUAGGCUCAUAAGAUGAUGAUAUGGACAAUACAUAAGCCUUGUGAGCAGAUGACAAAUGGUCAUAACCAACAUAUGCUGAAAUGUCAUAUUGCUUACCUGUUUCAGGUGUGACAAUCAUCUUGGAAUCAGAUUGGAUUUGGGAAUCAUUGCAUUUGGCCAAAUUGCAGUGAUAUUGUUCAAGGUAUGAAGGUGGUCUAUGAACCCUU